rnacentral:tRNA from 1 species
GGUGGCUCAGUGGUAGAGCGCUGGCCUCGCAUGCAUGAGGUCCUGGGUUCGAUUCCUCAGCACCA